UUAAGCAUAUCACUAAGCGGAGGAAAAGAAACUAACAAGGAUUCCCUUAGUAACUGCGAGUGAAGAGGGAAAAGCCCAGCACCGAAGGUAGUAUCCAUUUGGGUAUCUACCAAUGUGGUGUUAAGGUCAGCUCGCGUAGGUGCGGCUCCAUCUCAAGUCCAGCAAUGAGUACGGCUAUGGACUGAGCCCAGAGCGGGUGAAAGGCCCGUUGAGGUGGAGUUCAGAAAUGACCGCGCCUAUCGUGUUUGACCAUGGAGUCGGGUUGUUUGUGAAUGCAGCCCUAAGCGGGUGGUAAACUCCAUCCAAGGCUAAAUACUUACACGAGUCCGAUAGCGAACAAGUACCGUGAGGGAAAGUUGAAAAGUACUUUGAAGAGAGAGUAAACAGUGCGUGAAGCCGCAUAGAGGUUAAACGGGUAGAGUUAAACUGCGUGGGUCAUGGAUUCAGCCGAUGAAUGUGACUUGUGCUUGGACAAAUUGAUUCGUCUUCAGAGUCUGCUUAGCUGCAGGUCCCAUCCGGGAUUCACGAAGCACUUACCAAGUGUUGUGUGCUCUGUUGAUGAGAUGUCAGUUCGUCGGUGCACUUCCAUGACUCCUUGACCACGAUCGGUGUCAUUGGACUGUCCUCGUUGUCAAACUGUGGAUGUAGAAUUUUCUAUGUCUUCGGUGUGGUAGCACCCCUGUGUAUGCAGGUCGCAGUUGUCUUCGAGAUACAAGCUGAUGGACCGGGGCGACGGCCUUGGCGUGCUCUUAUACCCUCUGAUAGAUUGUGUUGGGUAUGGUUUUUGUGUGCUUGUGUAAGCAGGCCCAUUGACUACUCAGUGUUUUCUAUUAGUGUGGUGUCGGGGUGGCCAAUUUUGAGGGCCAAAGUCAGUGGUGUGUGGUAAACUUUCUACCCGACCCGUCUUGAAACACGGACCAAGGAGUUUAACAUGUGCGCGAGUCAUUGGGCCUUCCGAAACCCAAAGGCGAAGUGAAAGUGAAGGUUUGCUCUGCAAGCUAUGGUGAGAUCCUGUCGUCUCCUGUGCCACCAAGCAUUCGAACGGCAGGCGCAUCACCGGUCCGUCCAAUAGUGUGGUUGAAAUUCUGUUUCACAUCAUUAGGGCGGAACAUGAGCGCACACGUUGAGACCCGAAAGAUGGUGAACUAUGCUUGCGUAGGUUGAAGCCAGGGGAAACCCUGGUGGAGGACCGCAGCGAUUCUGACGUGCAAAUCGAUCGUCAAACGUGAGUAUAGGGGCGAAAGACUAAUCGAACCAUCUAGUAGCUGGUUCCCUCC
rnacentral:rRNA from 1 species